CGGCGUCCGCGCCCUCCCACGGGGGCCGCCGCGGGCCCGGCCCCGGGAACGGCGUGAGCGUGAGCGGCGGCAGCGCCAGUGAGAGCCGGGAGAGCCUGGCUGCGAGGGGAGAGACCCGGUGAGCCCCUGUCCCGAGGAGACUGAGGCAGGCCCUCCCACCUAGCUGUGUGGCUUCAGGCCCCAAGCACACAGAAGUACUCCGUCACUGUAGGAUUAAUGUGUGAAUGCUACCUGCUGCGUGACAAUGACCAAGGGGGUGAGCUCUCCUAGGAUGAGAAUUUGGUGUGUCUUCUUCCUGCCUGAUGUCCCGGGUGCCUAGACUAAUAGAUGCUCAAUAAACACAUGCAGAGAGAAGAACUGGAGGUCUUCAGGAGGGCUGCUUCCGAGAUUCUGGGACUCCCACCUCUACCUAUCCCGUUGGCCAUCCCUGCUCUCAGCCGCCCCAGCCCUGAAGGAAGACACUCAACAUCUUCUGGCCUUUCCUGGGACACCAUGGCAUUCCGAUGGAGUUUCGCUCUUGUAGCCCAG